GCCGGGGUAGCUCAACGGUUGAGCAACUGUUUUGUAAACAGUAGGUUGGAGGUUCAAAUCCUCUCCCCGGCU
rfam:Candidatus Nomurabacteria bacterium RIFCSPLOWO2_01_FTLL_41_21 rifcsplowo2_01_scaffold_4738, whole genome shotgun sequence.